UCUUGACAAGAAGGCUGAACUUGUUUAACAACUUGCUGACAGCCUCCACCCUCAUUUCUGGGCUGGUCCUUGACCUAUGACUUUCCUGAACUGUCCUAAGGCAAGUUCAAAAGGAUGAGCUGAGCCAUUCAGAUUCUAUCUCAGAAAUUGGAAUCCAGUGACACAGAGGGAAGAAGGCAGCUGGUGGUGGCCUCUGAAGGUGGCAGUUCAGGUAGCACAAGGGUGGAGAUUACUCUUGGGCCACACUGAAGGAGAAGAUAUGGGAAGGCAGAAACCAGGAGUAACAGAGGAAGUGCUUCAGUCAAAAGAAGCCAGUGCAGCCCAAGUAUGGGAGGCAGGGAUGCUGAGAGAGAAAACUGAAAGAGAAUCACCUUGCCUCCUGGUUUUCCAGUUCCAGUUCUGGUUUCUGGGAUGCCUGACUAGACUGAAGCCCCUGCCUUGGAGUUUACGCCUUCCCUGACGUUAUGAGUGACUCUGUCACUUACGACCAAAGGAGCCCUGGCCUUGAUACUUGAUACUCUUGACUCAAAGUCCAAGUUGUAGCCAUUACCAUCUCUCGCUUGAAUUGUUGUAUCUCUCACUCCUAACUCCUCUGCCAUUUCUGUCCUGCAUUCCCUAACAUUCAUCCUCUCCACUGGAGUGACCAUUCUGGGAUGCCAACUUGCCAUGUUGCUUCCCUCUGGAGGUUUAUUGUCCUCACAGUAAAGUCCGAGUUGCUGGCCUUACACUUUAUACAAAACUGCUAGUCGCUCAUUACCUUAAUAAUGCUAUUUCUCACCCCCAUGCCUUUGCUCAUGCUGUUUCCUCCUCCAGGAAUACCCUUCACAUCCUCUUGUACUGAUGAAUUCUUACUCAGCUUCAAUGCCAUCUCCUCUUCCAUCACUUCUUCACUUUCC
rnacentral:lncRNA from 10 species